GGGUGGAGGCCGGAUCCUGGGCUGUGUCCCCGGUGCCCUGUGCUCUCGGGCCUGCGCUGUUGGAAUCGCGCUCCCGGCUGUGCAGCCCCCA
rnacentral:pre_miRNA from 1 species